rfam:Eucalyptus grandis cultivar BRASTZ1 unplaced genomic scaffold scaffold_7, whole genome shotgun sequence.
GCCUCUGAUGAUGAUUCUGACUGAACUUUCGUUCUUCCAAGAUGUUUCAUGCGGAAAAUAUCUGGAGACCUGAACUGAAGAGGU